rnacentral:rRNA from 1 species
UACGUAGGGAGCGAGCGUUGUCCGGAUUCAUUGGGCGUAAAGAGCUCGUAGGCGGCUUGGCAAGUCGGGUGUGAAAACUCCAGCUCAACCUGGAGACGCCACCCGAUACCUGCCAUGGCUAGAGUCCGGUAGGGGACCACGGAAUUCCUGGUGUAGCGGUGGAAAUGCGCAGAUAUCAGGAGGAACACGGUGGCGAAGGCGGUGGUCCUGGGCCGGUA